AAUCCCUUGAUACCUCGAAAGCACGAAAGCCGCUGCUAUCUUCUUUCCAGGUCUCCAGUUGAUUGAAUAGGGGCAGCUGUAAUACCCCAAAAUUUACCCUUCAUUUUUCCUAGAAGCAUACGCUUUACACCUCAUGCAUGCAUUCAUUUUUAGGUCAUUUAACAUUAGAUACAUUGCAUUUCAUCAUGUCAAUCAGAAUUAGAUCCAAGAAACUUUAUUUUAA
rnacentral:lncRNA from 1 species